AUGGCUUACCUCUUGGAGAUCCGUCCGAUGCAACUUCGACAGCGAUUACGAAGCAAAAGAAAUCAGAUAGGCGUAUUUUUCUUUUCUCUUAGAUUCACCCUUCUUCUGAUUCAACUGUUACUUCUAUUUUCUAAUUUUUGUGUUGGGAUUAUGGAGGUGAACGAAGUUGGAGAUGCUGGUAAAGAUGAAGCGGUUGUAUAUUACUAUAACUUUGAAAGAUAG